rnacentral:rRNA from 1 species
GACGAACCGUCCAAACGUUAUUCGGAAUCACUGGGCUUAAAGGGUGCGUAGGCGGCCCGGAAAGUUGUGUGUGAAAGCCCUCGGCUCAACCGAGGAAUAGCGCGCAAAACUACCGGGCUCGAGGGAGACAGAGGUAAGCGGAACUUAGGGUGGAGCGGUGAAAUGCGUUGAUAUCCUAAGGAACACCGGGAGCGAAAGCGGCUUACUGGGUCUCUUCUGACGCUGAGGCACGAAAGCUAGGGGAGCGAACGGG